GCAGUAGCCGCGGUAAUACGUAGGGUGCGAGCGUUAAUCGGAAUUACUGGGCGUAAAGCGUGCGCAGGCGGUUUUGUAAGACAGGCGUGAAAUCCCCGGGCUCAACCUGGGAAUGGCGCUUGUGACUGCAAAGCUAGAGUGCGGCAGAGGGGGAUGGAAUUCCGCGUGUAGCAGUGAAAUGCGUAGAUAUGCGGAGGAACACCGAUGGCGAAGGCAAUCCCCUGGGCCUGCACUGACGCUCAUGCACGAAAGCGUGGGGAGCAAACAGGAUUAGAUACCCGUGUAGUCCCUGUCUCUUAUAC
rnacentral:rRNA from 1 species